rnacentral:rRNA from 1 species
GACGGAAGGUGCAAGCGUUGCUCGGAAUCACUGGGCGUAAAGGGUGCGUAGGCGGCCGUGCAAGUCUGGCGUGAAAGCCCCGGGCUCAGCCCGGGAAGUGCGCUCGAAACUGCGCGGCUCGAGUGCCGGAGGGGAGAGUGGAAUUCCUGGUGUAGCGGUGAAAUGCGUAGAUAUCAGGAGGAAUACCGAUGGCGAAGGCAGCCUCCUGGGCCAACACUGACGCUCAUGCACGAAAGCGUGGGGAGCAAACAGG